rnacentral:misc_RNA from 1 species
AUGAAUUACAGGGCUUCUCUUUAGAAGUUCCGCCCAUUCAUUUCCAACCCUGUGCACACACUAUUCUUUUUUACACCUUUUUAACUCGUAAUAGUUGAAGAAUGUAAUCAGCCUCUUAAUUGAGCAUAAAAUAUAGUCA